rnacentral:rRNA from 1 species
ACGCUCGACACCUACGGAGGCAGCAGUGGGGGAUAUUGCACAAUGGGGGAAACCCUGAUGCAGCAACGCCGCGUGAGGGAAGAAGGUUUUCGGAUUGUAAACCUCUGUCCUUAGUGACGAUAAUGACGGUAGCUAAGGAGGAAGCUCCGGCUAACUACGUGCCAGCAGUCGCGGUAAUCUGAGCGGGCUGGCAAGGC